UGGUUCUGGCACUGUUUCUGGGUCUCUUCUUUCAUUUCGGGGAAUCCUGCCCCCUCCUCUUGGUCGUCCUCGUUUUGGCGGCAUUCUAUUGGGUUAAACACAAGUUGUCAGCGCAUUAAAAAAAACAAUAAGGCCAUACUAUCAUUUCUAUAGUUACUCUUUAACUCAUCGAGUUCUGCUCUUGCUAAAACUUAAGCGAAUAUAUAAAUAAAACAUAGCGGAACGACUUGCUGCGAAAAAC
rnacentral:lncRNA from 1 species